UACGUAGGGGGCAAGCGUUGUCCGGAUUUAUUGGGCGUAAAGAGCGUGUAGGCGGCCUGAAAGGUCAGCUGUGAAAACUCGAGGCUCAACCUCGAGACGUCGGUUGAAACCAUCUGGCUAGAGUCCGGGAGAGGAGUGCGGAAUUCCCGGUGUAGCGGUGAAAUGCGCAGAUAUCGGGAAGAACACCCGUGGCGAAGGCGGCACUCUGGGACGGUACUGACGCUGAGACGCGAAAGCGUGGGGAGCGAACAGG
rnacentral:rRNA from 1 species